GCAUAUCGUGACUGCUACUGUGGUACUUUUUCCAAUUAAAAGAUACAAAGUAAUGUCAAUGAUUUGUGGAAGUGUAUGAAAGCAGAUGAGACGUAUCUUGCUAACGUUGAAACAAAAAUUACAGAACUGCUGCAAAAGAAAACUCAAAAGAAGACGGCUUAUCUAAACUUUUUUACAAGUCAGAAUUGACAAAAGGCAAGCAAUAAGACAUCAAACGAAUCGUCUACGUCACAACAUUCUGAAGCUUUGCACGUUCCCGAAUCUCUAGGGUCAAAUAAUGCAAUAAUAUACGUUGAUAACAGUGAAAUUGAAGGGAGUGAAAGUGAUACCAAGAUUUCUAUUUCGAAUCGCUUUUACGACACACCUGCACAAGAUGCAUUAAAAGCAAAUAUAAGUCUCUCAGAGAAACAGUUAGUUGCAGCGAUUGAGGGUCGUGAUUCUGGUCUGGGAGGAUCUGACUGUCACCAAAAUAGUGAUAGGCUGCAAAAAGAGCUAGAUGAAAGUAAAAAAUUGUUAACUUCAAAAGAGAAUAAGGCAAAACGUGCGAAAAAAUAUCGAAGUGCAACGAAAGAAACACAUUAAAAAAUCAAGCUUGAAAGUUCA